rnacentral:rRNA from 1 species
GUGUGGAGCGAAUCCAGAAAAUAAUGUCCCAGUUCAGAUUGCAGGCUGCAACUCGCCUGCAUGAAGUCGGAAUUGCUAGUAAUCGCAGAUCAGCAUGCUGUGGUGAAUACGUUCCCGGGCCUUGUACACACCGCCCGUCACACCAUGGGAGUUGGGAAUGCCCGAAGUCAGUGGCCGAACCGUAAGGGGGGAGCUGCCGAAGGCAGGCCCGAUGACUGGGGUGAAGUCGUAACAAGGUAGC